UUCCGGUUGAUCCUGCCGGACCCGACUGCUAUUUGGGUGAGGAUAAGCCAUGCGAGUCGAAUGGGAUACCUAAAUUUCCCAUGGCAGACUGCUCAAUAACACAUGAUCAACUUACCCUAUAGAGAAAAAUAACCUCGGGAAACUGAGGAUAAUGUUUCAUAGUUGAAAAGGCUUGGAAAAGUUUUUCGACCAAAAGGAUAAGAAAAAUGGUUUUUAUCCGCUAUAGGAUAGGAUCGUGGUCGAUUAUGGUCGUUGGUGAGGUAAUGGCUCACCAAGCCGAUAAUCGAUAGGGGCCGUGAGAGCGGGAGCCCCGAGAUGGGUACUGAGACAACGACCCAGGUCUUACGAGACGCAGCAGGCGCGGAACCUCAGCAAUACACGAAAGUGUGACUGGGUUACCCAAAGUGUUCAAUUUUGAACUGUGGUAGGUGAGUAAUGUCCCCUACUAGAAAGGAGAGGGCAAGGCUGGUGCCAGCCGCCGCGGUAAAACCAGCUCUUCAAGUGGUCGGGAUAAUUAUUGGGCUUAAAGUGUCCGUAGCCGGUUUAGUAAGUUCCUGGUAAAAUCGGGUAGCUUAACUAUCUGCAUGCUAGGAAUACUGCUAUACUAGAGGGCGGGAGAGGUCUGAGGUACUACAGGGGUAGGGGUGAAAUCUUAUAAUCCUUGUAGGACCACCAGUGGCGAAGGCGUCAGACUGGAACGUGCCUGACGGUGAGGGACGAAAGCCAGGGGAGCGAACCGGAUUAGAUACCCGGGUAGUCCUGGCCGUAAACGAUGCAUACUAGGUGAUGGCAUGGCCAUGAGCCGUGUCAGUGCCGUAGGGAAACCGUUAAGUGUGCCGCCUGGGAAGUACGGUCGCAAGGCUAAAACUUAAAGGAAUUGGCGGGGGAGCACCACAAAGGGUGAAGCCUGCGGUUCAAUUGGAUUCAACGCCGGGAAUCACUAGUGCGGC
rnacentral:rRNA from 1 species